rnacentral:ncRNA from 1 species
AUUAAUAACCAGGGUCGGGAACCCUUAAUAUUUAAU